AUCCUGGCUCAGGAUGAAUGCUAGCUACAGGCUUAACACAUGCAAGUCGAGGGAAACGAUAGAGAAAGCUUGCUUUUUCUAGGCGUCGACCGGCGCACGGGUGAGUAACGCGUAUCCAACCUGCCCAUCACUUGGGGAUAACCUUGCGAAAGUAAGACUAAUACCCAAUGACGUCUCUAGAAGACAUCUGAAAGAGAUUAAAGAUUUAUCGGUGAUGGAUGGGGAUGCGUCUGAUUAGCUUGUUGGCGGGGUAACGGCCCACCAAGGCGACGAUCAGUAGGGGUUCUGAGAGGAAGGUCCCCCACAUUGGAACUGAGACACGGUCCAAACUCCUACGGGAGGCAGCAGUGAGGAAUAUUGGUCAAUGGACGAGAGUCUGAACCAGCCAAGUAGCGUGCAGGAUGACGGCCCUAUGGGUUGUAAACUGCUUUUAUAAGGGAAUAAAGUGAGUCUCGUGAGACUUUUUGCAUGUACCUUAUGAAUAAGGACCGGCUAAUUCCGUG
rnacentral:rRNA from 1 species